GGGGAAUAUCGGACAAUGGGCGAAAGCCUGAUCCAGCCAUGCCGCGUGUGUGAAGAAGGUGUGCGUGUUGUAAAGGACUAUAAGGCGGGAGGGAGGGCAGUGAGUUAAUACCUUGCUGUUUGGACGUUACCAACAGAGUAGGCGCGGGGUAACUUCGUGCCAGCAGCCGCGGUAAUACGAAGGGUACAAGCGUUAAUCGGAAUUACUGGGCGUAAAGCGCGCGUAGGUGGUUCAGCAAGUUGGAUGUGAAAUCCCCGGGCUCAACCUGGGAACUGCAUCCAAAACUACUGAGCUAGAGUACGGUAGAGGGUGGUGGAAUUUCCUGUGUAGCGGUGAAAUGCGUAGAUAUAGGAAGGAACACCAGUGGCGAAGGCGACCACCUGGACUGAUACUGACACUGAGGUGCGAAAGCGUGGGGAGCAAACA
rnacentral:rRNA from 1 species